rnacentral:misc_RNA from 1 species
AACAAAACAUAAGUGGUACGCACUUGGAUGGUCUUCUCUCUACAAUAUAAUUUUUGUUAAGAAAGCUUUCCAUGGUGCUAAGGUAUGAUUUUCUAUUAUUGUAAAGGCCUAUAAAUUUUCAAGUUUCAAUUAGCUUUCCCUACUAUUGAGGGCUAAUGAGAGGACACAAAAAUGAGAGUUACUAAAAUCAUAUGUGUAUUUCCUAAUAACAAGCAAUAAUAAGUUCAUUUGCAAUUACACAAUUGAUAUGAGAGAGCUUAUAGUUUAGGAAUAUGGCAAUUAGUAUUUCAAUUUCUUUACAAGAUCUAAGUUUCUAUGGAAAUGCAAUUUUAUUAUUUUCAAAAUAAUAUAAAGAGAAGUAGUAUCAAAAGAUUCACUGUUUUAAAUAUUAACGUAGAACUAGUUUCAAGCAAAACUAGAUGGUAAAAAAGAAUCUACAUGGCCUACCUAAAUUAAUUUGGGAUUAAGACUUUGUUGUUG